rnacentral:rRNA from 1 species
UGGGGAAUAUUGGACAAUGGGCGCAAGCCUGAUCCAGCCAUGCCGCGUGGAUGAUGAAGGCCUUAGGGUUGUAAAGUCCUUUCAGCGGGGAAGAUAAUGACGGUACCCGCAGAAGAAGCCCCGGCUAACUUCGUGCCAGCAGCCGCGGUAAUACGAAGGGGGCUAGCGUUGCUCGGAAUUACUGGGCGUAAAGCGCACGUAGGCGGCUUUCUAAGUCGGAGGUGAAAUCCUGGAGCUCAACUCCAGAACUGCCUUCGAUACUGGAGAGCUCGAGUCCGGGAGAGGUGAGUGGAACUGCGAGUGUAGAGGUGAAAUUCGUAGAUAUUCGCAAGAACACCAGUGGCGAAGGCGGCUCACUGGCCCGGUACUGACGCUGAGGUGCGAAAGCGUGGGGAGCAAACA